UACAGAGACUGCGAGCGUUAUUCGGAUUCACUGGGCGUAAAGGGCGCGUAGGCGGCCCUCUUUGUCGCGUGUGAAAGCCUCGGGCUCAACCUGGGAAUUGCGCGCGAAACGGGGGGGCUUGAGUUCGGGAGAGGAGCGUGGAAUUCCCAGUGUAGAGGUGAAAUUCGUAGAUAUUGGGAAGAACACCGGUGGCGAAGGCGGCGCUCUGGACCGAGACUGACGCUGAGGCGCGAAAGCUAGGGGAGCAAACAGG
rnacentral:rRNA from 1 species